AUUGAACGCUGGCGGCAUGCCUUACACAUGCAAGUCGAACGGCAGCACGGGUGCUUGCACCUGGUGGCGAGUGGCGAACGGGUGAGUAAUACAUCGGAACGUACCUUAUCGUGGGGGAUAACGCAGCGAAAGCUGUGCUAAUACCGCAUACGCCCUGAGGGGGAAAGCGGGGGAUCGAAAGACCUCGCGCGACUAGAGCGGCCGAUGCCUGAUUAGCUUGUUGGUGGGGUAAAAGCCCACCAAGGCGACGAUCAGUAGCUGGUCUGAGAGGACGAUCAGCCACACUGGGACUGAGACACGGCCCAGACUCCUACGGGAGGCAGCAGUGGGGAAUUUUGGACAAUGGGGGCAACCCUGAUCCAGCAAUGCCGCGUGAGUGAAGAAGGCCUUCGGGUUGUAAAGCUCUUUUGUCAGGGAAGAAACACCGGCUCUAACACAGUCCGGGAAUGACGGUACCUGAAGAAUAAGCACCGGCUAACUACGUGCCAGCAGCCGCGGUAA
rnacentral:rRNA from 1 species